GGGCGGAGGGAGGAGCCGGGCGGCGGCGGCUCGAGGUCCGGGAGCCACGGGUGACUUCUGGGGAUUCGGAGCAGUCUGUGGGGCCUGGGGAAGAAUAGAGAGAGCGACUUAUGAGUCUCCUAAAGUGAUUCCUUGGAAGUGCAGCAGCCAUCAGAAGCCAGGGCAAGCCUGAGCGUGAAGGUGAAGCUGGUGAGCAGGAUUAGCAGAACAAGGAGAAGGAAGAAGAUUCUGGACCUGGAUGACAUCAUCUCACCUCUGCUUGCCUGAGUUUGCAGUGAGAAGAAUACAAAGGUAUCCCAGGCUCUGCCAAACUAAGUGAAUGAAAUGGGUGUGAAAACAGGCACAGAAGCUACAAACUAUAAGCGUCAGCUUCAGAAGCACAAGGGGAACAGGAAAUUACAACUUGGAGCCAAAUGUCUGCACUAACCUCCCACAGUGACAGAGAGCUGGGGCGCCUUGAUAUCCACAUUUCAUGGAGAUGGAUCCACCGCCUUCAAGAAAAACUGGCAAUAGGCUUAUUUCCUUUUUAAAAAGAUUUACAUACAUCUCAAAGACAUGGAGGAGAUUUCUAAUUACAAGUUUUCUAAAGGAAAUGCUAAAAGAGAAGGAAGAGGAGAAAAGAUCUCUUUCCCUUUGGGCACCAGGGAUUUUUAAAAUUUAGCUUUUGGGGGAUUGUAUUGUAGGGGAGGAAAAAAUCUUUUACCCCUACCCUCCCAGGUUCAAUGGCUGAAGCUUGCAAAUCAAUCUGAUAGAAGACAGAUUAACAAGAGCAAAAGCAGUAGGAAUGACCUGCAGAUGCGCUGGAGUUUCACAAGGAAAUGAGAUUCAGGGAGGUGGUCAGAUGAUUGAAGUGUAUAUACCAUUUUAGGCUAAACAAAGGAAAAGGGGGUUUGGGCACUUCUGGGCUGGGGAGGCAAGUUAUGGGAAAGGGAGGGGAGAAAAUGUAUGAUAAAUAAGGUUUGUCUUGUUAUAUGGAUAAGUGUCUCUCAGGUGAUAGGAGUUGUCUUGGGCCAUAGCUCUCUUCCUGGUACAGACUUUUUUUUAACAAAUGGAAAGCACUGGGCUCCACAAAAUCAGCAGGGCGUCUGCUGGAGAUUCUCUCUCUCCCUCUCCCUCUCCCCCACUCCUCCACUCUCUCUCUCUCAAACUGGUAAAUAAAUCUUAAAAAAAAAAGAGAGAGAGAGAGAUGGCCCCACUCCAUCACUCAUGGGGGUUAUAAUGAAGUUUAGAAGGUGUAUAGUUUGGUAUUUCCCCACAAUGGCCAUAAUGGUAUUUAUGGUUUCACACACUCUUCCAGAAUCUUCUCAUUCUCUCAUCAAGAGAUUGAGUCUUUGCUGCUUCCCUUGAACCUGGGCAGGCUUCUGUGAUUGUCUGGAUGUCAAUGAGCCCUCUUGCUCAACUGUAGACCCCAACAGUUUUAACCAGAAAUAGUGAAGACCCCCUUAACUCAGCUCUAACUUAAAACCAUUGUGCUUAUUUCUUAUCGCGCUUUCUUGGGGCAUUGACAAGACAUUUUGCAAUAACCUGAACAUUCCAACCACCAGACCAGGAAAGCCUUCAUAGGAUUUGGAAUGCCUAGAAGAUCACAUCCCACACAUCCCCUUCCCCACGAUGAUCUUGUGCUGAACACAUAUCGAUUCCCACCCAUGACCGUCACCUGUUCUCCGACAGCUCUCUUGCACACCGCCCCCGCCCCCAACCUCUCUCUAGAAGACUCUAGAUGUCCAUCUUGAUGUGGAGAACAAAGGCAAAGAAUUGUAGAUAAAAUUAAAUGUCCUUAUAACUGGCCGCCCGUCGACAAACACUUGAGACAGGCAGAGAAAGACGUUCCUCCAGGACUCCCAACUGUCUUUAAUGUUAAUGCCUUGCUAGAGGAAAACAACCUCAGCUUGACAAUAGCCAGGUCUCCAGGAUCCUGUAAAGUCUUCUUUAACAUAUGAAAGUCCUUUUGGAAACUUCCUUUGUCUCCCAACUUAAAAGUAUAUAAUCAGCUGCUCCUCACAAU